rnacentral:rRNA from 1 species
GACGAACGCUGGCGGCGUGCUUAACACAUGCAAGUCGAACGGAAAGGCCCUGCUUUUGUGGGGUGCUCGAGUGGCGAACGGGUGAGUAACACGUGAGUAACCUGCCCUUGACUUUGGGAUAACUUCAGGAAACUGGGGCUAAUACCGGAUAGGAGCUCCUGCUGCAUGGUGGGGGUUGGAAAGUUUCGGCGGUUGGGGAUGGACUCGCGGCUUAUCAGCUUGUUGGUGGGGUAGUGGCUUACCAAGGCUUUGACGGGUAGCCGGCCUGAGAGGGUGACCGGCCACAUUGGGACUGAGAUACGGCCCAGACUCCUACGGGAGGCAGCAGUGGGGAAUAUUGCACAAUGGGCGGAAGCCUGAUGCAGCAACGCCGCGUGCGGGAUGACGGCCUUCGGGUUGUAAACCGCUUUCGCCUGUGACGAAGCGUGAGUGACGGGAAUGGGUAAAAAGCACCGGCUAACUACGUG